CAGACUGUACUUACAAGGAUCUAGUUUGUAGUACACUUCUUUGUCUUUGUUUCCGAACAAAGUCAUGCAAACAAGACUGGACGAUGAUUGGAACUACACUGUCUGAAAAGGGAAGUGUGAGUUUUAAGGCAACUUGGUGUUUUUCAUUUUUUAUGAGGGACUUUUUUUGGAGGAGCUCGCUUCUUUGAAAAAAGACCUUGAAAGAAGGGAAAGCUACCACGCCUUUUCUGACUCGUUGAUGAUCUUGCCAAGCGGUGUUAAAAGCUGCUGGCAUGGACGGAUGUAGAUUCUGACAGUCU
rfam:Zancudomyces culisetae strain COL-18-3 scaffold-91, whole genome shotgun sequence.